AUUGAACGCUGGCGGCAUGCCUUACACAUGCAAGUCGAACGGCAGCACGGGUGCUUGCACCUGGUGGCGAGUGGCGAACGGGUGAGUAAUACACCGGAACGUACCUUAUCGUGGGGGAUAACGCAGCGAAAGCUGUGCUAAUACCGCAUACGCCCUGAGGGGGAAAGCGGGGGAUCGCAAGACCUCGCGCGAUUAGAGCGGCCGAUGCCUGAUUAGCCUGUUGGUGGGGUAAAAGCCCACCAAGGCGACGAGCAGUAGCUGGUCUGAGAGGACGAUCAGCCACACUGGGACUGAGACACGGCCCAGACUCCUACGGGAGGCAGCAGUGGGGAAUUUUGGACAAUGGGGGCAACCCUGAUCCAGCAAUGCCGCGUGAGUGUAGAAGGCCUUCGGGUUGUAAAGCUCUUUUGUCAGGGAAGAAACACCGGCUCUAACACAGUCCGGGAAUGACGGUACCUGAAGAAUAAGCACCGGCUAACUACGUGCCAGCCGCCGCCGUAA
rnacentral:rRNA from 1 species